AGGAGAUGAGACCCAGGGAAUAGUAGUGUCAA
rnacentral:piRNA from 1 species